AUACUCUGGUUUCUCCUCAGAUUGUAUAAAUCUUUUGCCUUUUUCUAAAGAUUUCCAUGGAUAGAGUUCUCUUGUGGCACAUCAGGUUAAGGAUCUAGCAUUUUCACUGCAGUAGCUUGGGUAACUGCU
rnacentral:snRNA from 1 species